rnacentral:lncRNA from 1 species
GUCCACUGUCAGUGUGAAGGUAUGUACGUUGCUACGUUGUCGUUCCUUGUCUGGAUAUGUAAAGACAGGUUGUCGUCAAUUUACUAUGCUGAGCCUGACUCAGCUAGUAUAACCAUGUGAUUGUAUCGCAAUCUCGGCAAAUUACAAAGAAUAACAACUUGUGUGUGAAGAUUGUAGAUUGUAAUUCCACCAGAAAUGAUACAGGAGUUUUACAGAGUGUGUAAUGUUUGGUAAACUGAAAGAUAUAAAAAUACAAUAUUU